AGCAGCCGCGGUAAUUCCAGCUCCAAUAGCGUAUAUUAAAGUUGUUGCAGUUAAAAAGCUCGUAGUUGAAUUUCGGGGUUAGUAGGUUGGUCAUGCCUCUGGUAUGUACUGGUCUCACUGAUUCCUCCUUCCUGAUGAACCUUAAUGCCAUUAAUUUGGUGUUUUGGGGAAUUUGGACUGUUACUUUGAAAAAUUAGAGUGUUUAAAGCAAGCUAACGCUUGAAUACAUUAGCAUGGAAUAAUGAAAUAGGACGUUCGAUCCUAUUUUGUUGGUUUCUAGGAUUGACGUAAUGAUUAAUAGGGAUAGUUGGGGGCAUUAGUAUUCAAUUGUCAGAGGUGAAAUUCUUGGAUUUAUUGAAGACUAACUACUGCGAAAGCAUUUGCCAAGGAUGUUUUCAUUAAUCAAGAACGAAAGUUAGGGGAUCGAAGACGAUCAGAUACCGUCGUAGUCUUAACCAUAAACUAUGCUGACUAGGGAUCGGAUGAUGUUAAUUUUUAAUGACUCAUUCGGCGCCUUACG
rnacentral:rRNA from 1 species